AACGAACGCUGGCGGCAGGCUUAACACAUGCAAGUCGAGCGCCCCGCAAGGGGAGCGGCAGACGGGUGAGUAACGCGUGGGAACGUGCCCUUUGGUACGGAACAACUGAGGGAAACUUCAGCUAAUACCGUAUGUGCCCUUCGGGGGGAAAGAUUUAUCGGAGAUGGAUGAGCCCGCGUUGGAUUAGCUAGUUGGUGGGG
rnacentral:rRNA from 1 species